rnacentral:rRNA from 1 species
UUGAUCCUGGCUCAGGACGAACGCUGGCGGCGUGCCUAAUACAUGCAAGUCGAGCGAGCCGAACUAAUUGAUUACCUUCGGGUAUGAAGUUAGGGAAGCGAGCGGCGGAUGGGUGAGUAACACGUGGGUAACCUACCCUAUAGUCUGGGAUACCACUUGGAAACAGGUGCUAAUACCGGAUAAAAGGAGAGAUCACAUGAUUUCUUUUUGAAAGGCGGCGUAAGCUGUCGCUAAAGGAUAGACCCGCGGUGCAUUAGCUAGUUGGUAAGGUAACGGCUUACCAAGGCAACGAUGCAUAGCCGAGUUGAGAGACUGAUCGGCCACAUUGGGGAACUUGAGAGAAACACCGGCCCAACUUCCCUACGGAGGCAGGCAGUAAGGGAAUCUCCACAAUGGACGCAGUCUGAUGGAGCAACGCCGCGUGAGGUGAAGAAGGUUUUCGGAUCGUAAAGCUCUGUUGUUGGUGAAGAAAGAUAGUGAGAGUAACUGCUCAUUAUUUGCCGGUAAUCAACCAGAAAGUCACGGCUAACUACGUGCCAGCAGCCGCGGUAAUACGUAGGUGGCAAGCGUUGUCCGGAUUUAUUGGGCGUAAAGCGAGCGCAGGCGGAAAGAUAAGUCAGAUGUGAAAGCCCUCGGCUUAACCGAGGAAUAGCAUCGGAAACUGACUUUCUUGAGUGCAGAAGAGGAGAGUGGAACUCCAUGUGUAGCGGUGGAAUGCGUAGAUAUAUGGAAGAACACCAGUGGCGAAGGCGGCUCUCUGGUCUGUAACUGACGCUGAGGCUCGAAAGCAUGGGUAGCGAACAGGAUUAGAUACCCUGGUAGUCCAUGCUGUAAACGAUGAGUGCUAAGUGUUGGGAGGUUUCCGCCUCUCAGUGCUGCAGCUAACGCAUUAAGCACUCCGCCUGGGGAGUACGACCGCAAGGUCAAAACUCAAAGGAAUUGACGGGGGCCCGCACAAGCGGUGGAGCAUGUGGUUUAAUUCGAAGCAACGCGAAGAACCUUACCAGGUCUUGACAUCUAGUGCCAACCUAAGAGAUUAGGCGUUCCCUUCGGGGACACUAAGACAGGUGGUGCAUGGCUGUCGUCAGCUCGUGUCGUGAGAUGUUGGGUUAAGUCCCGCAACGAGCGCAACCCUUAUUAUUAGUUGCCAGCAUUAAGUUGGGCACCUCUAAUGAGAACUGCCGGUGACAAACCGGAGGAAGGGUGGGAUGAACGCUCAAGUCAUACAAUGUCCCCUAUAGUGACGUUGGGCUACACACGUGCUACAAUGGGCAGUACAACGAGGAGCGAACUUGUGAAGGCAAGCGAAUCUCUGAAAGCUGUCCUCAGUUCGGACUGUAGGCUGCAACUCGCCUACACGAAGCUGGAAUCGCUAGUAAUCGCGGAUCAGCACG